rnacentral:lncRNA from 1 species
GGGAAUCGGAGAAGCACAGUUGGGAAUCGGUCAAAUGGUGCUACAGUGUGAGAUCGGCCGGUGACUUCUGUCUCGCUUUGGGUCGAAUAUACUAGAGUCACAAUCGGUAAUCUUUUGCCGAUAAGGAAUCGGCCGAUUAGGAGGAUGGGCUAAUUGGGCCUGUAUGGGCUUGGAAAGGGAUAGAAGGAUAAGGUGGAAAUCAGC